AUCUUCUCAAUGAGCUCCUUUCUGUCGAUCGGUGGCAGUCUGGAUUCGCACGAGAAGAAGAGCCAGUUCACAGAGCUCGCAUUCUUAGCUUACCUUCUGUCUUCACAGAAGUAGGCUUCUGUUCUGUGAGACAUUU